AUAAUUCUGCUUAAAUAUACAAAUGUGCAUUUUAAGUAUGCAUAUCAAUUAUACAAGUACAUUAAAGGCUGAUUUUAACAAAUAAUACACUGACCGUAUUGUAUUGCAGGAGGGCGAAGAUUCUGGUUCUGAGAGCUCAGGAGAUGAAGGUGGAAAGAAGCACGGAAAGGGCAAAGGGAAAGGGAAAGGACACGGAAAAGGAGGUGAACACGGGAAAGGAGGUGAACACGGGAAAGGAGGUGAACACGGGAAAGGAGGUGAACAUGGGAAAAAAGGAUCUGACCAACAAAAAGGAAAAAAGUAAUGAGCUCAUAACCUGAGGCCUGGGAAGUCCAUUUAUUUCCGCAUGACUUACACAACAAAACUCCAUUUUACAUACAAAAAAAUAAAUAUAAUUAAAACACC